UACAGAGGUCUCAAGCGUUGUUCGGAUUCAUUGGGCGUAAAGGGUGCGUAGGCGGCUCGGUAAGUCGGGCGUGAAAUCUCGGAGCUUAACUCCGAAACUGCAUUCGAUACUGCCGUGCUUGAGGACUGGAGAGGAGACUGGAAUUUACGGUGUAGCGGCGAAAUGCGUAGAUAUCGGAAGGAAGACCAGUGGCGAAGGCGGGUCUCUGGACAGUUCCUGACGCUGAGGCACGAAGGUCAGGGGAGCAAACGGG
rnacentral:rRNA from 1 species